AAAAAGGGCUUCUGUCAUGAGUGGCACCUGUAAGGCAACUCAUUUGCUCUAUGUCUGGAAUUGACCUCAAGAGACUUUCGAAGCGUAAUUUUUUGGCACUUGGGAAGCUGGAAAAAAAAUAAGUCUCCAA
rnacentral:snRNA from 1 species